GGACCAACGAUCAUCUCCAGAAAAGUGGAGUAGCAAUAUGGAAGGGUUCUGAGAGCCGUGCGAACACGUUGGCAGGAUUCUAGCCAUGAAAUUGGUUUUCUACCAGGACUGACCACGGCUAGCUGGAGCUUCUGGCAAUAACAGCUCUGGGAGAACGUGUGCUCCACAGAGGGGGAGUCCUAACUGUGUGAGGACCACUUGCGAACACUUCUGUGGAAUUUGCAGAGGCAGAGGUCAAGGCUUCUAAGUGUGGAGGGACUACAGAGAUGGCUCAGCGGUUAAGAACACUUGCUGCUCUUGCAGAGGACCUGGAUUU